GCUAUCAUAUCCAUCCGUUUCCACUCCUGUUGCCUUCCAGGCAGCGGGGGGAUAGUUUCUUGAGGUACUUGCAUAUACAUAGUGUGGUCGUAAACCCUUUGCAUAUUUAUAGUCCAGUCCCAGCAGCUGCGGAAGUAUGCAAAUUGGAAAACUUAUGGUACAACAAGCUAGAACGAUGCCGAGCCCACGUCCACUUGGGCAAAACAAAUUUCUGAAACUUUAUUUAUCAAGUGAAAUUUUAACAAAUUAACUGCAAAUGCAGAGACAUGGGCAAACAAAUAAACUCUCCGUCUCCAUCUCCGUCUCCAUCUCCGCCUCCGCCUCGGCCUCGGCCUCCAUCUUCAGCUCAACAAUGACCAAAUUCUGAACAAACACUCAUCAGACAUACACAAGCAUGAUUGUGACAACAUAUUGCCAUGUCAAAAUAUUUACACUAUAUCAACCUACUAUCGUCUAUCGUAUAUCGUAUAUCGUCUAUGCACUAUAUAAAUAGGAGAGGGAGUGAGAUGGAGUGAGAUGGUGUGGUGUGGUGCGGCAGAUUCGGUUUUAAAUUUCAUAUGGUUGUGCCAUCCGUUUGGAUAUUAAAUUUCAUGUUUUCCUUUGCAUGGCAUUUUCCUAUUGUCUGCAUUUUUGCACUUGUGUGACAACUAGCUCUAGCUGUAACUCUCUCAUUCCUGUCAAACGUUGGCUUAUGCAGAGUUCUUUGAAUUGUAAUUUUGUCUCUGUAUGCAUUGAAAGUGACCAGAGCUUCCAGCUUCUGGCUGCUUAUCUCCAAAUGCAGCUGUCAGGCGAAACUAGCUUUCUACUCGUAGUUUGGUCUUGCAUCCUGGCAAAAGUUAUUUUAGCUUCAAUAAAUAUUUCAGGGCUCUGUAAGCUUCAUAAAUAUAUUGCCCAAGAAGGUGCCUUGAAGCUGUAUCGAAUAAAUCAAAUAUGUGAUUUUUACAAGGCCAUCACGAGAAGACAGAAAUACCUAAGAUUAUUUCGUGGUUAAGUCCAUCUGUGACCACUAACCUCUGGCCAUAACGAAUAUCAAUAGUAUUUCCGAACUGAUGAAGCGCACUAGAAAUUUAUCAACAAUUUUCAUUUGACUUGGCUUCGCCUUGAUAAAAUGGAAAUCCACAAGAGCGACAAUCGAAUAGAACCACUGAAGCAGGCUAAUUUAAUAAGUUAAGCCACAGCCACAAUUUCUCGCCUUUGAACGUUACAACAACAAUAUUUUUCCAAUUGAACUAACGAAUAUUUAAUGAAAAUCAACACUUCCGCUUUGCUGAGCGCAGUAGAACACACACACACACACACACACACACAAACUAAUAACGGUAGCAUCGUAUUACAUAACGAGCUCCAAAUGCUCACCGCAGAAUGAGUCGUACGUGCCACAUUCGCCUCAAGUUGUCUGCACUCUGGCAGAGCCAGGGCUCACUGGAAAUCCCAUUUCGUUGAUAGUCAUCCAAGGGAUGGCUUGGCGAAAGGUCUGAUAUCUUCGAAAACAAAGCAGACUGCGAUCUCUCUCAAUUUCGAUCGCACUGGUCAUGGGAGAUGGGAAAAAUAUGGAAAGAAAGAGAGGAACCACGACCGCUAGCUAUGUUCUAAGUGGGGUUUAAUUUAUUUCUGGAAAUGGUUGCCCGGGCAGGAAUGUCUAUUUUAUCAUCGUGUCAACUAGUUGUACUGACAUGACGGUCCAUUUCCUAGAGCAACAAGCAAAUUGUCAUCCGUGGUCCGUGCCUCGUGCCACCCGCAAAAAGAUACAAAAAAUUACCAUGAAUUACUGUAAUUCCACUUGUGCUGCGACUGGAAUGCUGCCGGCUGGCCCUAAGCCAUGGCCAUUACAUGGAAAUGGGACAUGUCAGUGGACAUCGUCACUGAGAGAGGCCAGGCCAGGACAUGUGUGCAUGUUGGUCCGAUCUCUGGCCAAGCGGUCACGUUCGCACUGUAUGACCGGAACGUGCAAUUUUUCUGUGGCACAUGCGUCGAGGCGGGCGGCGGGCGGCGGGAGGCCAGCAAAAGGAACGCAAUAAGCACAAGUUUUAUGCAAUAAAAUUAGCCCACUCUUACACACACACACGCACUGAGGAAGGACACGCAGGAUGCUUCAGUUGCUGAUAAGAUAAUUUUAUUUGGAUGUUAUUGCAUAAAGUCAUGUGAGCGGCGGAAAUGAGUUGAACUAACGGAAAGCGACUACGUGCCUCUCAGAUCCGGCCGAUGGGGGCAAAGGACGAGUCCCUUGGAGUCGAGCCGCAGUUGGAUUUUAAUAAGAAAAUUGGCUUGUUUGUAAAUUGAUGAUUUUAAAGCUGAAGUUAAAGGUCGUCAGGGAUCGUCCACAUUGUACUCUCCGCCAAUUAUGUUCUGCGUCUCUUCAUUUCAAUGCUCCAAAGUGGGCCGACUACAUAAACAAAAGCAUCAAGCAGUUGUUUUGAAGUG